rnacentral:lncRNA from 1 species
CUGGAAUGAACAAGGCCACCAGGAGUGACAGCAAGACAGAACAAGCUCCAAACAGGAAAGGAGGCCCUGGGAUAAUGCUGCUCUCAUCCGUUGGGUUGGCCAUGUUGGGUUUGGAGGCCUUACCCAAAGUUUCCACCUCAGCCAUUUCAUUCAAUUCCACAUGGAAGAGAUAGAAGACAAAGCCAUAGAGAGCUGGCCCCAGGCCAUUACACAGACCCCGAAUUCCAGUGAUCAUCCCCUGCACUACACCCUGCUGGUCAGGGUCUGCGUUCCUAGACACCAUGGCGCUGAUGGCUGGGAAGGUGAUGCUAGACAUGGCAGCCACAGCCCCUGCUGCCCACAUCAUCCAAGGCUGUGAUCCGAAGCCAUACCAGGCAAGCUGCAGGAUCUGGAAGCCUAGUCCCAGCAGGAUGGUGUUUUUAUUUCCUAUUGAACGCAUGAGAAUUCC